rnacentral:rRNA from 1 species
UACGUAGGGGGCAAGCGUUAUCCGGAUUCAUUGGGCGUAAAGCGCGCGCAGGCGGGUGCAAAAGCGGGGCCUUUAAACUUGGGGCUCAACCUCAAGUCGGGCUCCGAACUUUGCACCUCGAGUUCGGUAGGGGAGAUCGGAAUUCCCGGUGUAGCGGUGGAAUGCGCAGAUAUCGGGAAGAACACCGAUGGCGAAGGCAGAUCUCUGGGCCGUAACUGACGCUGAGGCGCGAAAGCUGGGGGAGCGAACAG